CCUACGGGAGGCAGCAGUGAGGAAUAUUGGUCAAUGGGCGCGAGCCUGAACCAGCCAAGUAGCGUGAAGGAUGAAUGCCCUAGGGGUUGUAAACUCCUUUUAUAAAGGAAUAAAGUGAGGCACGUGUGCCUUUUUGUAUGUACUUUAUGAAUAAGGAUCGGCUAACUCCGUGCCAGAAGCCGCGGUAAUACGGAGGAACCGAGCGUUAUCCGGAUUUAUUGGGUUUAAAGGGAGAGUAGAUGGGUUGUUAAGUCAGUUGUGAAAGUUUGCGGCUCAACCGUAAAAUUGCAAUUGAUACUGGCAGCCUUGAGUACAGUUGAGGUAGGCGGAAUUCGUGGUGUAGCGGUGAAAUGCUUAGAUAUCACGAAGAACUCCGAUUGCGAAGGCAGCUUACUAAACUGCCACUGACAUUGAUGCUCGAAAGUGUGGGUAUCAAACAGGAUUAGAUACCCGAGUAGUC
rnacentral:rRNA from 1 species